ACCAGGUAAACGGCUUAUUAUGGUUACCAAUUGUGUCGGUUGGCAUGGGUAACAUACCUGCCUUAAACUGAUUUUCAAAGGCGGCAACAACCUGAAAGUCUGCAUCCUGAAACUGGAGAAGACUUCUCAUUUCUAAACAUUAUGGACAAAGAAGAUCUCAUCCCGGGUCAGAUUUCUUGCAGUGAUGCUGAAGAGGACAGCGAUGGUUCCGAAUCAUCCGUGAAUAAAUUGGAAUGGACCAUGAAGAAUCCUCAUUUAUCGGGGGUCGAAGAUGUAGAAUCCUUGGCAUCCUCAUCGGAAUCGGUGGAUAUGAGUAAAGACGACGAAUUGGAACAAGAUGAUUCACUCAUCAUAAGUGAGGAAUUGGCUGUGGAACAAUCCAAUAUUGCCGACAUUUGUGAUGAUGAUGACGGGCCUAAAAAGAACGACGAUGAUGAUCUUGAGGAUGUCAUUGAACUGGACAGACCACCUUCACCGAAUAAGGGGGUUAUCUAUCCUUCUCCUCCCCAAUACGCCCCACCAAGUCAAGAAUUUCAGCAACAACAACUACAAUAUCAACAACAACAAUAUCAGGCACAAAUUGGGAUGCCACAGCCAUUGGCACCAGUCUCGAGCAUGCAAGUUGCAAAUCAAAUGGUAUGCUAUCCGCCUCAAUCGACCGGUUUCUUGUUGCCCCCACAACAGGUUCGAUUUGGACCGAAAUCUAUGCAAGUGACAUGUAGUAAUUGCCAACAACAUGUCAACACCAAAACAAGCAGAAACGUGAAUACGAGUGGAUGGAUUUGUACCUGUAUAUUUUGCAUCUUGUGAGUUGCAUUUUAUGACACUCCAUCGUCAAGAUGACAAUUUCGAAGGGGAUGAGUACAGUUGCUGUCCUUUGAGUUGGGUUCCUGUUGUUUGUAUCGACAACUGCCAAGACACCGUGCAUAAAUGUUCAAAUUGUGGGAUGAUUUUGGGCAAACAUCAUGCCUAACGGAGGAGUCUUUGUCCUUCGCCGUCACAUCUGUGGGUGUGAUCCAAAUGUAUUGAAUGCUUUCAAAUCUCAAUAUUGAUGCCUUAACAAUCCAUAAUUCUUAGUUCGUUGGAUUCUUGUUUCAAAAACUUUGGACCACCUUCUCUGUCAUUAAUGUUUACCAUGCAUAGUUUUGAGUCUUGUGGUUUACUUUGGGACAUGAUUUUUUGUUGGACAUUUUUACUGCUGAUGUGAAUGGCGCCCCCUUAAAACGAUUAAAGAAAUUAUACACCCUA